UAGGGAAUCUUGCGCAAUGAGCGAAAGCUUGACGCAGCGACGCCGCGUGCGGGAUGAAGGCCUUCGGGUCGUAAACCGCUUUCAGCAGGGACGAAAUUGACGGUACCUGCAGAAGAAGCCCCGGCCAACUACGUGCCAGCAGCCGCGGUAAUACGUAGGGGGCGAGCGUUGUCCGGAUUUAUUGGGCGUAAAGAGCUCGUAGGCGGUUCGGCAAGUCGACGGUGAAAUCUCCACGCUCAACGUGGAGGGGUCCGUCGAUACUGCUGUGACUCGAGUCCGGUAGGGGAGUGUGGAAUUCCCGGUGUAGCGGUGAAAUGCGCAGAGAUCGGGAGGAACACCCGUAGCGAAGGCGGCACUCUGGGCCGGUACUGACGCUGAGGAGCGAAAGCGUGGGGAGCAAACAGG
rnacentral:rRNA from 1 species